AGUGAACGCUGGCGGUAGGCCUAACACAUGCAAGUCGAACGGCAGCACAGUAAGAGCUUGCUCUUACGGGUGGCGAGUGGCGGACGGGUGAGGAAUACAUCGGAAUCUACUUUUUCGUGGGGGAUAACGUAGGGAAACUUACGCUAAUACCGCAUACGACCUACGGGUGAAAGCAGGGGAUCUUCGGACCUUGCGCGACUGAAUGAGCCGAUGUCGGAUUAGCUAGUUGGCGGGGUAAAGGCCCACCAAGGCGACGAUCCGUAGCUGGUCUGAGAGGAUGAUCAGCCACACUGGAACUGAGACACGGUCCAGACUCCUACGGGAGGCAGCAGUGGGGAAUAUUGGACAAUGGGCGAAAGCCUGAUCCAGCCAUACCGCGUGGGUGAAGAAGGCCUUCGGGUUGUAAAGCCCUUUUGUUGGGAAAGAAAAGCAGCAGGUUAAUACCCCGCUGUUCUGACGGUACCCAAAGAAUAAGCACCGGCUAACUUCGUG
rnacentral:rRNA from 1 species